rnacentral:rRNA from 1 species
AUUGAACGCUGGCGGCAGGCCUAACACAUGCAAGUCGAGCGAGCGGCGGACGGGUGAGUAAUGUAUGGGGAUCUGCCUGAUGGAGGGGGAUAACUACUGGAAACGGUCGCUAAUACCGCAUACUAUCAGAUGAACCCAUAUGGGAUUAGCUUGUAGGUGGGGUAACGGCUCACCUAGGCGACGACCCCUAGCUGGUCUGAGAGGAUGAUCAGCCACACUGGGACUGAGACACGGCCCAGACUCCUACGGGAGGCAGCAGUGGGGAAUAUUGCACAAUGGGCGCAAGCCUGAUGCAGCCAUGCCGCGUGUAUGAAGAAGGCCUUCGGGUUGUAAAGCACUUUCAGCGGGGAGGCGUUACCCGCAGAAGAAGCACCGGCUAACUCCGUGCCAGCAGCCGCGGUAAUAC